rnacentral:rRNA from 1 species
GACGAACGCUGGCGGCGUGCCUAAUACAUGCAAGUCGAACGCAGUGGGGACGGGUGAGUAACACGUGGGUCACCUCCCAUCAGAGGGGAUAACACUUGGAAACAGGUGCUCCCCCGCUACUGAUGGAUGGACCCGCGGUGCAUUAGCUAGGUGGUGAGGUAACGGCUCACCAAGGCCACGAUGCAUAGCCGAACUGAGAGGGGGAUCGGCCACACUGGGACUGAGACACGGCCCAGACUCCUACGGGAGGCAGCAGUAGGGAAGCUUCGGCAAUGGACGAAAGUCUGACCGAGCAACGCCGCGUGAGUGAAGAAGGUUUUCGGAUCGUAAAACUCUGUUGUUAGAGAAGCGGUAUCUAACCAGAAAGCCACGGCUAACUACGUGCCAGCAGCCGUGGUAAUUC